rnacentral:tmRNA from 1 species
GCCCUCUCUCCCUAGCUUCCGCUCUUAAGACGGGGAUCAAAGAGAGGUCAAACCCAAAAGAGAUCGCGUGGAUGCCCUGCCUGGGGUUGAAGCGUUAAAUCUAAUCAGGCUAGUUUGUUAGUGGCGUGUCUGUCCGCAGCUGGCAAGCGAAUGUAAAGACUGACUAAGCAUGUAGUGCCGAGGAUGUAGGAAUUUCGGACGCGGGUUCAACUCCCGCCAGCUCCACCA